AUACGGAGGGUGCAAGCGUUACUCGGAAUUACUGGGCGUAAAGCGCGCGUAGGCGGAUGAUUAAGUCAGUUGUGAAAGCCCUGGGCUCAACCUAGGAACUGCAUCUGAUACUGGUCGUCUAGAGUUUAAGAGAGGGAAGUGGAAUUCCAGGUGUAGCAGUGAAAUGCGUAGAUAUCUGGAGGAACAUCGGUGGCGAAGGCGACUUCCUGGCUUAAAACUGACGCUGAGGUGCGAAAGCGUGGGUAGCGAACGGGAUUAGAAACCCCAGUAGUCC
rnacentral:rRNA from 1 species